rnacentral:lncRNA from 1 species
GCAAGAGUAUCCCCAUAUCAUGCUUUUUCCCUGUCUUUUCUUUUGGCCUUGUUUUUACCUGCAAGACAAGGAGAAAGAGAGCAAUCAGUCAGCACUUGGAAUCAAGCUCCUAGCCAGGAACUGACUGCCUGGAACCCCUUACCUGAUUACUUACCUGGCAUUGCUCUCGAAUACUCAUCUUCAACAUCUUAUGUUUCCAGGGAAGAUUCCGCAUCUGCUUGAGGAACAGAUAGGGCAAGUGCGAAGG